rnacentral:rRNA from 1 species
AUUGAACGCUGGCGGCAUGCUUUACACAUGCAAGUCGAACGGUAACAGGGAGCUUGCUCCGCUGACGAGUGGCGAACGGGUGAGUAAUGCAUCGGAACGUACCCAGUCGUGGGGGAUAACGUAGCGAAAGUUACGCUAAUACCGCAUACGUCCUGAGGGAGAAAGCGGGGGACCGAAAGGCCUCGCGCGAUUGGAGCGGCCGAUGUCGGAUUAGCUAGUUGGUAGGGUAAAGGCCUACCAAGGCGACGAUCCGUAGCGGGUCUGAGAGGAUGAUCCGCCACACUGGGACUGAGACACGGCCCAGACUCCUACGGGAGGCAGCAGUGGGGAAUUUUGGACAAUGGGCGCAAGCCUGAUCCAGCCAUGCCGCGUGAGUGAAGAAGGCCUUCGGGUUGUAAAGCUCUUUCAGGUGGAAAGAAACGCAUGGGUCGAAUAACCCUGUGUGGAUGACGGUACCGAUCAGAAGAAG